CCUACGGGAGACAGCAGUGAGGAAUAUUGGUCAAUGGCCGGAAGGCUGAACCAGCCAUGCCGCGUGAAGGUCAGUGCCCUAUGGGCGUUAAACUUCUUUUGUGCGGGAGCAAUAAUGGUCACGUGUGGCCAGACGAGAGUACUGUACGAAUAAGCAUCGGCUAACUCCGUGCCAGCAGCCGCGGUAAUACGGGGGAUGCAAGCGUUAUCCGGAUUUAUUGGGUUUAAAGGGUGCGUAGGCUGUGAGGUAAGUCAGCGGUGAAAUGCCCCCGCUCAACGGGGUGAAGUGCCAUUGAUACUGCCUGGCUGGAAUGCGGAUGCCGUGGGAGGAAUGUGUGGUGUAGCGGUGAAAUGCAUAGAUAUCACACAGAACACCGAUUGCGAAGGCAUCUCACGAAUCCGCGAUUGACGCUGAUGCACGAAAGCGUGGGUAUCAAACAGGAUUAGAUACCCGGGUAGUC
rnacentral:rRNA from 1 species